AUUGAACGCUGGCGGCAUGCCUAACACAUGCAAGUCGAACGAGUGGCGGACGGGUGAGUAAUGUAUGGGCAACUGCCCGAUGGAGGGGGAUAACUACUGGAAACGGUAGCUAAUACCGCAUACCAUCGUAUGGGGCCAGAUGGGAUUAGGUAGUGGGUGGGGAAACGGCUCACAUAGGCGACGAUCCCUAGCUGGUCUGAGAGGAUGACCAGCCACACUGGAACUGAGACACGGCCCAGACUCCUACGGGAGGCAGCAGUGGGGAAUAUUGGGCAAUGGGCGAAAGCCUGAUGCAGCAACGCCGCGUGAGUGAAGAAGGCCUUCGGAUUGUAAAGUACUUUUGGCGGGGAGGCGGUACUCACAGAAGAAGCACCGGCUAACUCCGUGCCAGCAGCCGCGGUAAUAC
rnacentral:rRNA from 1 species